rnacentral:lncRNA from 1 species
AGAAAUAGUCAACCACCCUUAUCACAUAUUCCUUGAUUUUCUCCAAUUAUUUUACCUUUCCUGAUUUACUCAGAUUUGUUAUAUUUUCUCUCCCAUGAAAUAAGGUCUUUAACAAAUAUAAAACUCUCUUUCUACGCUGAUUUACUAUUCAAACAUGGAUACCAAUAAAUUUUCAACUCUAAUACAACACAACGGGCGAUGAGAUGCAUCAGGUAUUUGAACAACUAACGAUUGAUUUGGUGUUUUUUCCUCACAAUUUGUAUUUAGUCGUUUUGUUAAUUAGUCGUAGGUUUCAAUUGUAUGUUAUUUUGGUUUAGUAUAAAAUUGAUAUGCUUUGGGUAAUAGUCUGGUGCAACGAUUGGCUAGAUUUAUUUCUUUAAUAAAUAAUAAAAAUUAUUAAUCUUUUUUAGUAUGUUAUUAUGUUUAAUUGAUAGUGAACAUGGUGGAUAUGAUGUGGUUUAUUGGUAUUAUGUAGUAUGUUUUUAGAAACACCAUUAUCAUCUUCUUUUUUUUCGUGCAAGUGAUGAUAGAUUAUUAUGUGAUAUUGAUAGUGUAGAUAGUUUGGUGUAAGAGAUAUUAUUUAUUGUGUUUUUAUAAACACCAUAGGUCACAACUUUGUUGUAUUAUGAAUUUUGUUUUGUGUUGAUUAAAUACAA